AGAGUUUGAUUCUGGCUCAGAACGAACGCUGGCAGCGUGGAUUAGGCAUGCAAGUCGAACGGGAUCCAGAGCUAUAGCAAUAUAAUUCUGGUGAGAGUGGCGUAAGGGUGAGUAACGCGUGGGUAACCUACCUCUAAGUUGGGGAUAACCCGGCGAAAGCUGGGCUAACACCGAAUGUGGUCAGCUCCUUAAUGGGGCAGGAUUAAAGACGGGGAUCUUUCGGGACCUGUCGCUUGGAGAGGGGCCCGCGUGCCAUCAGCUAGUUGGUGAGGUAACGGCUCACCAAGGCUUACGGCUAGCUAGUCUGAGAGGACGACCAGCCACACUGGGACUGAGACACUGCCCAGACUCCUACGGGAGGCUGCAGUCGAGGAUUUUGGACAAUGGGGGAAACCCUGAUCCAGCGACGCUGCGUGGAGGAUGAAGGCCUUCGGGUUGUAAACUCCUGUCAUUCGGGAAAAACGACCUCAUGGAUAACACCCAUGGGGAGUGAUGGUACCGGAAGAGGAAGCCACGGCUAACUCUGUGCCAGCAGCCGCGGUAAUACAGAGGUGGCAAGCGUUGUUCGGAUUUACUGGGCGUAAAGGGUGCGUAGGUGGUCAUCUGUGUCGGGUGUGAAAUCCCACGGCUCAACCGUGGAAUGGCAUUCGAAACUGGAUGGCUAGAGUGCAGGAUGGGAGAGCGGAAUUCUUGGUGUAGCGGUGAAAUGCGUUGAUAUCAAGAAGAACACCGGUGGCGAAGGCGGCUCUCUGGAAUGCAACUGACACUGAGGCACGAAAGCUGGGGAAGCAAACAGGAUUAGAUACCCUGGUAGUCCCAGCUGUAAACGGUGCGCACUUGGUGUGGGAGGAUUUGACCCCUUCCGUGCCGGAGCUGACGCGUUAAGUGCGCCGCCUGGGGAGUACGGUCGCAAGACUAAAACUCAAAGAAAUUGACGGGGGCCCGCACAAGCGGAGGAGCAUGUGGCUCAAUUCGAUGCAACGCGAAGAACCUUACCAGGACUUGACAUGCAGCUGCACGUCCGUCGAAAGGCGGAUUCCUUCGAGGGUGCUGCACAGGUGCUGCAUGGCUGUCGUCAGUUCGUGCCGUGAGGUGUUGGGUUAAGUCCCGCAACGAACGCAACCCCUGUGUUUAGUUGCUACCAGGUAAUGCUGGGCACUCUAAACAGACUGCCUGUAUCAAACAGGAGGAAGGUGGGGAUGACGUCAAGUCAGUAUGGCCCUUACGUCCUGGGCUGCACACGUGCUACAAUGGCCGGCACAGAGGGAAGCAAGACCGCGAGGUGGAGCAAAUCCUUAAAACCGGCCCCAGUUCGGAUUGAAGGCUGAAACUCGCCUUCAUGAAGCCGGAUUCGCUAGUAACGGCGCAUCAGCUACGGCGCCGUGAAUACGUUCCCGGGCCUUGUACACACCGCCCGUCACAUCAUGGAAGCCGUCUGCACCCGAAGUUGCUGAUCUAACCCGCAAGGGAAGUAGGUGCCUAAGGUGUGGGUGGUGAUUGGGAUGAAGUCGUAACAAGGUA
rnacentral:rRNA from 1 species